UUUCGAAUCAUUCACAAUGGGCGAAAGCCUGAUGGUGCAACGCCGCGUGGGGGACGAAGGUCUUCCGAUUGUAAACCCCUGUCACCAAGGUCUAAUUAGCAUUCGUUAACCGCGGAUUCCCUGAAUUAACUCGGAGAGGAAGCAGUGGCUUACUCUGCGCCAGCAGCCCCGGUAAUACCGUGACUCCAAGCGUUUCUUGGAUUCAUUGGGCCUAAAGGGUGCGCCGGCGGCCAGAUGUGUCAGGUGUGAAAGCUCGAGGCUCAACCUUGAAACGGCGCCUGAAACUAUCUGGCUAGAGUAUCGGAGAGGGAAGCGGCAUUCAUGGUGUAGCAGUGAAAUGCGUAGAUAUCAUGAGGAACACCAAAGGCGAAGGCAGCUUCCUGGACGAUUACUGACGAUCAGGCAGGAAAGCGUGGGUAGCGAAAGGGAUUAGAUACCCCUGUAGUCCACGCCCUAAUCGGUGCCUACUAGGUGUUGGCGGAUUCGAUCCCCUCAGCGCUCACGCUAACCCGUUAAGUAUCCCGCUUGAGGGCUACGGCCGCAAGGCUA
rnacentral:rRNA from 1 species